rnacentral:misc_RNA from 1 species
GAUGAAGAACGUAGCGAAAUGCGAUAAGUAAUGUGAAUUGCAGAAUUCAGUGAAUCAUCGAAUCUUUGAACGCACAUUGCGCCCGCGAGUAUUCUCGCGGGCAUGCCUGUCCGAGCGUCAUUUCAACCCUCAGGGCCCGCCUGCUUGCAGGCACGGCGCUGGUGUUGGGGAUCGGCUACCCUGCCGUCCCCCAAAUACAGUGGCGGUCUCGCUGCAGCCUCCCCUGCGUAGUAGCAACACUCGCAUGCGGAGCGCGGCGCGGCCACGCCGUAAAACCCCCGACUUUCUGAACGUUGACCUCGGAUCAGGUAGGAAUACCCGCUGAACUUAAGCAUAUCAAUAAGCGGAGGA